AAAUGGAACUUACUGUUUCUGUAAAAUGUCCGAUUAUAAAAUCAAAAGAAUAUCUAUAGCUGUCUUCCUACAAAAAAAA